ACGAACGCUGGCGGCAUGCCUAACCCCUGCAAGUCGAACGAGACCUUCGGGUCUAGUGGCGCACGGGUGCGUAACGCGUGGGAACCUGCCCUUAGGUUCGGAAUAACUCCCCGAAAGGGGUGCUAAUACCGGAUAAUGUCUUCGGACCAAAGAUUUAUCGCCUUUGGAUGGGCCCGCGUUGGAUUAGCUAGUUGGUAGGGUAAAAGCCUACCAAGGCGACGAUUCAUAGCUGGUCUGAGAGGAUGAUCAGCCACACUGGGACUGAGACACGGCCCAGACUCCUACGGGAGGCAGGAGUGGGGAAUAUUGGAAAAUGGGCGAAAGCCUGAUCCAGCAAUGCCGCGUGAGUGAUGAAGGCCUUAGGGUUGUAAAGCUCUUUUACCCGGGAUGAUAAUGACAGUACCGGGAGAAUAAGCUCCGGCUAACUCCGUG
rnacentral:rRNA from 1 species